UUACUCCGUUUCACUUUUGAUCGAAGGUGAGAAAAAUAAGAUUUUUCCUCGCAAAAUAAAGAAAUUUGUUUAUUUAUCCCGGAAAAAGAAAACGAAAAAAAAUCGAAAGAAACAAAAAAACUCUUCUUCUUCCUUCUUCACCCCUAUUCACCGCAAAAAAGAAUUCUCUUUUCUUCUCCGUCAUUUCUUCUUCUCGAUUCUCUCUGUUUUUUCUGCUAUUGGUUUUAUUGUGCAGGUGCGGUUUUUGAAGAAGAGAUAAAUAACUAAAUCCAGUUCUGUAUUGGUAAACCCUAACUCUUGAGAAGCUGAAAUAUAACCCUAACCCUAACUAAAUAUGUGGAAUCGGAGUUGAAAUUGAUAUGGGUUUGUUGAGAUAAGGGUUAUGGAGAACUAAGAUUGAUGAUUAAGUUAAGAGAACUGAAGAAUUUCAGAAACUAGGGCUUGGUUUUGGGAAGAGCAGCUGAAACUGAUUCUUAUUAAUUCGUUUCCUAGCCCUGAUCUUCAAACGACUUCAACAAAUAAAGAUGUGCAAGAGCAUCAUCCUUCUGACAUUUUAUAUCGAUUUGAUUUCUUUUAAUUUUUCUUUGUACUCCUUUCUGUGAAAACCCUGUCUUAACUCUAUGCCAGGUAUUUGCCAUUGAUUUUUUCCAGACCACAGGAUUUGGAAGUGCAAAUAGACCUUUUUUUCGAUGAUUACACAAAUUAUUCAGGAUGUAGGUGGUGAUGAGUGACGCAGCUGGAUGUCAUGGCACCAUUAACAUGGAUAUGAUCUUUAAGAUGAUGGACUGAAUAAGAUAUGGUUCGGUUUAGUUGUUGUUUGGUUUUCAAGCCACAGCAAAAGCCCCUUCCCGCGGUUCACAGCUACCACCAUCAGCAACACAACACCUUCUUAGGCUAAUACCACCAGUACCUUGCAUUCGCAACACCAUCCAUCACAUGCAGCUGCGUAUCCUUUUGUUGUAUUUUUUGUGCAGGUGCACAAAUUGAAGAAACGAUAUCGAGAAUCCAGUGAGAACAUAGAUAUUGAUGAACUUCAGCUUUCUCUUUCCCUGUUGCCUUUCAAUCUGGAAUGGAUGUGAACUAAAACCCGAUGAGACAACAUAGACGUGUUAAAGUAAAGAAGAAGAAAUAAUCUAAACUUGCUAGAGAAUGGUGGAGGGAAGCGAAUUCUACUGGUGGUAGUUAGGAGGAUGAGAUAAUUGGUGCAGAGAUGAAGGUAUGAAUGUUGGUAUUAAAAAGAAGAAGAAAAUGGGUUGGAGUAGAAAGUAGUACAGGGAGAUGGAAGUAUUAGUCGAGAUUGGGCAAGUGGAUUAAUCCAUAAAAGUGGCUUGAGGGGGAUUUUGCCGGAAUACAUUUUGGAUUGUCGAUGGAGUUCAACAUUAAGGCAUUCUUGACUAUUUAUUUGGUAUCAUUGGUUUUACAGUUCUUCCGAUGAAUAUUGCUUUGGCGCCUUGAUAUACGUAUUAGAGGCUGUGAAUGUAAAGGAUUUUAUUAGUCUGUAUCACCUGCUAUUUGGUGGGCAGGCACUAAGAAACUUUUCUAUAUUUGGAUUUGUAUGAUUUGGUUCAUGUUUUCGCAGUUACGGUCUAUGACUCAUUUUUUGCUGGUGUUAUUUUUACCUUGGCUACUGCUGAUAAUCCCGGCUUCUUAAUUUUUCAUGGACAUUAGAGUUGUCAGUAGUUGCGAGUGCAAGUUGAAUCAAUGGCAACAUCGUGUUCGGGAUCAGGAUGUGAGGUGACGAUAAAAUUUCAGGUUGAGACUGAGUUGGAGUGUGAGAAUCAAGAUACUAUGUGAUUCUGGAAACUUCGGUUUUGGGCGUGACUUCCUGGUGCAUAAGAGUUUCCAGUAUUACAUCGCUUCUUGGUUGCUCAUAUUAGAUGAAUACUAAGUCCCCGAGCCUCAUGUUGAAAUGUUUGUCUACCAGGUUUGCCAAUUUGAUUAGAUGUAUGUGUGUUCUCAUGGCGAUGUGAAACUCCCAUUCCAGAGAUAUCAUAACUCCUAAUAUCACUUCCCAUGGAGUAUUGUUCAUGAAAAUUGAGGAAAGAGAAACAGAAGGUGAAAACUUCGACAAUCUGAGAUGAGCAUCCAUACGAAGGUGUCCAUACUAAGGUCAUCAAAGACAAUGAUAGGGAAGAGAAGUAAUUUAGGAAAAUUUCUUCUCCUUGACAUCUGGAGAAGAAUGACAAACCAGUUGAUCUAAGGUGUCCAAGGGAUGGAUUAUGUGCCUGAGCUGGUGAUUUAAAUGAUGCACUUGCAUUUUUGUUCACUUAAUCUUUUGAUCUCCGUGAAAGGUAUGUGCUAACUCUUUUAAUGCAGAUGGAUAAUGCUUUAAUUGAUGAUCGGUGGAUCAGUCAGACUGUUUCUAAGCUGUGGUCUCAAUACAGGCGUAAAGAGCAUCAAACUGGUAAAGGUUGAGAUACCACUGCCGACUUUGAUGGUGUUGUAGAUAAUAAAAGUAACAUAGACCUCAUGCAAUGAUUUUUCGUAGGGGGAUGUUGAAUGUGGAUGAGCUUCUGAACCUCCAACUGUUAUCCAUGACAAGUUGAAGGAAGAUUGAACUGAUGCGCUACAAGUAUGGUACUAUAAAUGUUAGGUUAAAUUUUUAUGCGUGUGUUGAUCGAAAUUCUACAGGGAAGGAGCUGUGUUCUAGCAUAAGAAUCAAAUUAAACUCAUCCCAUCAUCACCAGCUUCAGUCUGGACCUAUUGAGCAAUAAAGAUGAACUUAAAAGUGUGUCUGUUACUUAGAAAUAUGAAGUCCUAGAUCUGCCAAGUCUGUUGCUGGACUGGAAUUUUUUCUCAUGUAAUGCAGGAAGCAUUUUGGAGGAAGUAUGAAUGGAAGUUAAUGAAUUUUCUUGAGUUUUGGACAAGUGUUGUAUGUGCAUAGAGUUCUGAACCUGACUUCCGGCCCCGGCUUAUCCCUUUGCUCAAUCACAUUGUUGCUCCUUUGGGUACUUUGAUUCCUGGAUUUUUACUGACGAUGAACAACCAUCUAGAUCAAAGCGUACUACGGAGUCCGGUGAUGAUGUCCACGCGGUUUCUGGAAUUGAUGCACAGUUGCUCAUUAAGAAAUGCACACACUAUGAAAUUUGAAUAACACAUUAGUAGUUUGUUCUUUUCCCUGUUUUUAUAACUUCCGAGGUAGUUCAAUUAGUUAGGACAGCCAAUAUGUUAGAAUGCCAUGUUUCUUAAUGCUUGCACUGUGAAGUGGAACUAUCAUUCAUGUAUUGCAGUCCAAUUAUUCUGCCAGUUCUACAAUGUUAUGCAU